GAGGCGGUGCAGCUACCGCGCCGUGUUGUCCUCUGUCUGCACCGCCGCUGACGGAAAGCUAGGCCCUUCUGGAGACCCGCUUUCCCAAGGGCGCGGCCUCCUGGGCCGGGAUGCACGAGGAAAAAUAAUCCCCUGCCUUUCUUCGGUAGCUGUUUUCCAGUCCACAGCACCACUGCUGAACCGAGCGUUACUGAGUAGCGUUCU
rnacentral:lncRNA from 1 species